rnacentral:rRNA from 1 species
CCUACGGGAGGCAGCAGUGAGGAAUAUUGGUCAAUGGACGAGAGUCUGAACCAGCCAAGUAGCGUGAAGGAUGACUGCCCUCUGGGUUGUAAACUUCUUUUAUAAAGGAAUAAAACGAGGCACGUGUGCCUUUUUGCAUGUACUUUAUGAUUAAGGAUCGGCUAACUCCGUGCCAGCAGCCGCGGUAAUACGGAGGAUCCGAGCGUUAACCGGAUUUAGUCGGUUUAAAGGGAGCGUAGAUGGGUUGUUAAGUCAGUUGUGAAAGUUUGCGGCUCAACCGUAAAAUUGCAAUUGAUACUGGCAGUCUUGAGUACAGGAGAGGUAGGUGGAAUUCGUGGUGUAGCGGUGAAAUGCGUAGAUAUCACGAAGAACCCCGAUUGCGAAGGCAGCUUACUAAACUGUGACUGACAUUGAUGCUCGAAAGUGUGGGUAGCAAACAGGAUUAGAUACCCCAGUAGUC